rnacentral:rRNA from 1 species
GCGGCGUGCUUAACACAUGCAAGUCGAGCGAUGAAGUUUCCUUCGGGAAACGGAUUAGCGGCGGACGGGUGAGUAACACGUGGGUAACCUGCCUCAUAGAGUGGAAUAGCCUUCCGAAAGGAAGAUUAAUACCGCAUAAUGUUGAAAGAUGGCAUCAUCAUUCAACCAAAGGAGCAAUCCGCUAUGAGAUGGACCCGCGGCGCAUUAGCUAGUUGGUGGGGUAACGGCCUACCAAGGCGACGAUGCGUAGCCGACCUGAGAGGGUGAUCGGCCACAUUGGGACUGAGACACGGCCCAGACUCCUACGGGAGGCAGCAGUGGGGAAUAUUGCACAAUGGGGGAAACCCUGAUGCAGCAACGCCGCGUGAGUGAUGAAGGUUUUCGGAUCGUAAAGCUCUGUCUUUGGGGAAGAUAAUGACGGUACCCAAGGAGGAAGCCACGGCUAACUACGUGCCAGCAGCCGCGGUAAUACGUAGGUGGCGAGCGUUAUCCGGAUUUACUGGGCGUAAAGGGAGCGUAGGCGGAUGAUUAAGUGGGAUGUGAAAUACCCGGGCUCAACUUGGGUGCUGCAUUCCAAACUGGUUAUCUAGAGUGCAGGAGAGGAGAGUGGAAUUCCUAGUGUAGCGGUGAAAUGCGUAGAGAUUAGGAAGAACACCAGUGGCGAAGGCGACUCUCUGGACUGUAACUGACGCUGAGGCUCGAAAGCGUGGGGAGCAAAACAGGAUUAGAUACCCCUGGUAGUCCACGCCGUAAACGAUGAAUACUAGGUGUGGGGGUUUCAACACCUCCCGUGCCGCCGCUAACGCAUUAAGUAUUCCGCCUGGGGAGUACGGUCGCAAGAUUAAAACUCAAAGGAAUUGACGGGGACCCGCACAAGUAGCGGAGCAUGUGGUUUAAUUCGAAGCAACGCGAAGAACCUUACCUACACUUGACAUCCCUUGCAUUACUCUUAAUCGAGGAAAUCCCUUCGGGGACAAGGUGACAGGUGGUGCAUGGUUGUCGUCAGCUCGUGUCGUGAGAUGUUGGGUUAAGUCCCGCAACGAGCGCAACCCUUGUCGUUAGUUACUACCAUUAAGUUGAGGACUCUAGCGAGACUGCCUGGGUUAACCAGGAGGAAGGUGGGGAUGACGUCAAAUCAUCAUGCCCCUUAUGUGUAGGGCUACACACGUGCUACAAUGGCUGGUACAGAGAGAUGCAAUACCGCGAGGUGGAGCCAAACUUAAAAACCAGUCUCAGUUCGGAUUGUAGGCUGAAACUCGCCUACAUGAAGCUGGAGUUACUAGUAAUCGCGAAUCAGAAUGUCGCGGUGAAUACGUUCCCGGGUCUUGUACACACCGCCCGUCACACCAUGAGAGUUGGCAAUACCCGAAGUCCGUGAGCUAACCGCAAGGAGGCAGCGGCCGAAGGUAGGGUCAGCGAUUGGG